rnacentral:rRNA from 1 species
UACAGGGGGGGGCAAGCGUUGUUCGGAAUUACUGGGCGUAAAGGGCUCGUAGGCGGCCAACUAAGUCAGACGUGAAAUCCCUCGGCUUAACCGGGGAACUGCGUCUGAUACUGGAUGGCUUGAGAUUGGGAGAGGGAUGCGGAAUUCCAGGUGUAGCGGUGAAAUGCGUAGAUAUCGUAAGGAAGACCAGUGGCGAAGGCGGGUCUCUGGACAGUUCCUGACGCUGAGGCACGAAGGCCAGGGGAGCAAACGGG